AUGAGCUGGAUUCCAUUUAAGAUCAGACAGCCCAAGAAGCAGAUUGUUUCCAAAACAGUGGAAAGAAAGACCAACCGACGCCGACCUGGCCUUGUCCAAAUCUUCUGUGAAGAUAUCCCAGGACCUACUGUCCAACCCGCCGUAUGAGCAGGACCAGGACUUUCUGCGCAUUGUGACAGCCCUAGACACAGACAUGAAGCAGGAGAUGGUGAACCCGAUCCAAAAGACAGUGACUGAACCCCUGAAAAAGUUCAGCAACAUAUUCCUAAGCCUCAACGUGGCAGUGAAGUGACGGGAGCAGGCCGUGCAUGACUACAGGAGGCUGCAGGCCGAGGUGGAGAAGUACGAGGAAAAGAAGACUGGCUCUGCGCUGGCCAAGCUCCACCAGGCCCGAGAAGAGCUACCUAAGGCCUGUGCGGGAAGACUUUGAGGCCAAGAACAAACAACUCCUGGAUGAGAUGCCACGGUUCAGUGGCAGCCGACUUGACUAUUUCCAACCUAGCUUUGAGUCCCUGAUCCGGGCACAGGUUAGAUGCUACUCAGAAAUGGAUAAGAUCUUUGGAGACCUGAGCCAGCAGCUUGAAAAGCCAGGCCACUCAGAUGAGCAGCGAGAGCUGGAAAAUGAGACCAAACUAAGUGAACUCUGAGCCCUCUCCAUCGUGGCUGAU
rnacentral:lncRNA from 1 species